rnacentral:rRNA from 1 species
GAUGAACGCUGGCGGCGUGCCUAAUACAUGCAAGUCGAGCGAACAGACGAGGAGCUUGCUCCUCUGACGUUAGCGGCGGACGGGUGAGUAACACGUGGAUAACCUACCUAUAAGACUGGGAUAACUUCGGGAAACCGGAGCUAAUACCGGAUAAUAUAUUGAACCGCAUGGUUCAAUAGUGAAAGACGGUUUUGCUGUCACUUAUAGAUGGAUCCGCGCCGCAUUAGCUAGUUGGUAAGGUAACGGCUUACCAAGGCAACGAUGCGUAGCCGACCUGAGAGGGUGAUCGGCCACACUGGAACUAGGACGCGGUCCAGACUCCUGCGGGAGGCAGCAGUAGGGAAUCUUCCGCAAUGGGCGAAAGCCUAACGGAGCAACGCCGCGUGAGUGAUGAAGGUCUUCGGAUCGUAAAACUCUGUUAUUAGGGAAGAACAAAUGUGUAAGUAACUAUGCACGUCUUGACGGUACCUAAUCAGAAAGCCCCGGCUAACUACUU